UGGGGAAUCUUGUCCAAUGGGCGAAAGCCUGAGACAGCGACGCCGCGUGCGGGAAGAAGGCCUUCGGGUUGUAAACCGCUUUCAGGAGGGACGAAGCCACUCGGGUUAAUAGCCCAGAGGGUGACGGUACCUCCAGAAGAAGCCCCGGCUAACUACGUGCCAGCAGCCGCGGUAAUACGUAGGGGGCAAGCGUUGUCCGGAUUUAUUGGGCGUAAAGAGCGUGUAGGCGGCUAGAUAGGUCCGUUGUGAAAACUCGAGGCUCAACCUCGAGACGUCGAUGGAAACCAUCUAGCUAGAGUCCGGAAGAGGAGAGUGGAAUUCCUGGUGUAGCGGUGAAAUGCGCAGAUAUCAGGAAGGACACCCGUGGCGAAGGCGGCUCUCUGGGACGUGACUGACGCUGAGACGCGAAAGCGUGGGGAGCGAA
rnacentral:rRNA from 1 species